rnacentral:rRNA from 1 species
AUUGAACGCUGGCGGCAGGCCUAACACAUGCAAGUCGAGCAGAUGAAGGGAGCUUGCUCCUGGAUUCAGCGGCGGACGGGUGAGUAAUGCCUAGGAAUCUGCCUGGUAGUGGGGGAUAACGUCCGGAAACGGGCGCUAAUACCGCAUACGUCCUGAGGGAGAAAGUGGGGGAUCUUCGGACCUCACGCUAUCAGAUGAGCCUAGGUCGGAUUAGCUAGUUGGUGGGGUAAAGGCCUACCAAGGCGACGAUCCGUAACUGGUCUGAGAGGAUGAUCAGUCACACUGGAACUGAGACACGGUCCAGACUCCUACGGGAGGCAGCAGUGGGGAAUAUUGGACAAUGGGCGAAAGCCUGAUCCAGCCAUGCCACGUGUGUGAAGAAGGUCUUCGGAUUGUAAAGCACUUUAAGUUGGGAGGAAGGGCAGUAAGUUAAUACCUUGCUGUUUUGACGUUACCAACAGAAUAAGCACCGGCUAACUUCGUG